GGUUAAGCGACUAAGCGUACACGGUGGAUGCCCUGGCAGUCAGAGGCGAUGAAGGACGUGCUAAUCUGCGAAAAGCGUCGGUAAGGUGAUAUGAACCGUUAUAACCGGCGAUGUCCGAAUGGGGAAACCCAGUGUGAUUCGUCACACUAUCGUUAACUGAAUACAUAGGUUAACGAGGCGAACCGGGGGAACUGAAACAUCUAAGUACCCCGAGGAAAAGAAAUCAACCGAGAUUCCCCCAGUAGCGGCGAGCGAACGGGGAGCAGCCCAGAGUCUGAAUCAGCUUGUGUGUUAGUGGAACGGUCUGGAAAGUCCGACGGUACAGGGUGAUAGUCCCGUACACCAAAAUGCACAGGCUGUGAACUCGAAGAGUAGGGCGGGACACGUGGUAUCCUGUCUGAAUAUGGGGGGACCAUCCUCCAAGGCUAAAUACUCCUGACUGACCGAUAGUGAACCAGUACCGUGAGGGAAAGGCGAAAAGAACCCCGGCGAGGGGAGUGAAAAAGAACCUGAAACCGUGUACGUACAAGCAGUGGGAGCACCUUCGGGUGUGACUGCGUACCUUUUGUAUAAUGGGUCAGCGACUUAUAUUCUGUAGCAAGGUUAACCGUAUAGGGGAGCCGCAGGGAAACCGAGUCUUAACUGGGCGUUAAGUUGCAGGGUAUAGACCCGAAACCCGGUGAUCUAGCCAUGGGCAGGUUGAAGGUUGGGUAACACUAACUGGAGGACCGAACCGACUAAUGUUGAAAAAUUAGCGGAUGACUUGUGGCUGGGGGUGAAAGGCCAAUCAAACCGGGAGAUAGCUGGUUCUCCCCCGAAAGCUAUUUAGGUAGCGCCUCGUGAAUUCAUCUUCGGGGGUAGAGCACUGUUUCGGCUAGGGGGUCAUCCCGACUUACCAACCCGAUGCAAACUACGAAUACCGAAGAAUGUUAUCACGGGAGACACACGGCGGGUGCUAACGUCCGUCGUGAAGAGGGAAACAACCCAGACCGCCAGCUAAGGUCCCAAAGUCAUGGUUAAGUGGGAAACGAUGUGGGAAGGCACAGACAGCCAGGAUGUUGGCUUAGAAGCAGCCAUCAUUUAAAGAAAGCGUAAUAGCUCACUGGUCGAGUCGGCCUGCGCGGAAGAUGUAACGGGGCUAAACCAUGCACCGAAGCUGCGGCAGCGACACUAUGUGUUGUUGGGUAGGGGAGCGUUCUGUAAGCCUGCGAAGGUGACCUGUGAGGGUUGCUGGAGGUAUCAGAAGUGCGAAUGCUGACAUAAGUAACGAUAAAGCGGGUGAAAAGCCCGCUCGCCGGAAGACCAAGGGUUCCUGUCCAACGUUAAUCGGGGCAGGGUGAGUCGACCCCUAAGGCGAGGCCGAAAGGCGUAGUCGAUGGGAAACAGGUUAAUAUUCCUGUACUUGGUGUUACUGCGAAGGGGGGACGGAGAAGGCUAUGUUAGCCGGGCGACGGUUGUCCCGGUUUAAGCAUGUAGGCUGGUUAUCCAGGCAAAUCCGGAUAAUCAAGGCUGAGGUGUGAUGACGAGGUACUACGGUGCUGAAGUAACAAAUGCCCUGCUUCCAGGAAAAGCCUCUAAGCAUCAGGUAACAUCAAAUCGUACCCCAAACCGACACAGGUGGUCAGGUAGAGAAUACCAAGGCGCUUGAGAGAACUCGGGUGAAGGAACUAGGCAAAAUGGUGCCGUAACUUCGGGAGAAGGCACGCUGGUGUGUAGGUGAAGUCCCUGCGGAUGGAGCUGAGACCAGUCGAAGAUACCAGCUGGCUGCAACUGUUUAUUAAAAACACAGCACUGUGCAAACACGAAAGUGGACGUAUACGGUGUGACGCCUGCCCGGUGCCGGAAGGUUAAUUGAUGGGGUUAUCCGUAAGGAGAAGCUCUUGAUCGAAGCCCCGGUAAACGGCGGCCGUAACUAUAACGGUCCUAAGGUAGCGAAAUUCCUUGUCGGGUAAGUUCCGACCUGCACGAAUGGCGUAAUGAUGGCCAGGCUGUCUCCACCCGAGACUCAGUGAAAUUGAACUCGCUGUGAAGAUGCAGUGUACCCGCGGCAAGACGGAAAGACCCCGUGAACCUUUACUAUAGCUUGACACUGAACAUUGAGCCUUGAUGUGUAGGAUAGGUGGGAGGCUUUGAAGCGUGGACGCCAGUCUGCGUGGAGCCAACCUUGAAAUACCACCCUUUAAUGUUUGAUGUUCUAACGUUGGCCCCUGACCGGGGUUGCGGACAGUGUCUGGUGGGUAGUUUGACUGGGGCGGUCUCCUCCCAAAGCGUAACGGAGGAGCACGAAGGUUAGCUAAUCCUGGUCGGACAUCAGGAGGUUAGUGCAAUGGCAUAAGCUAGCUUGACUGCGAGCGUGACGGCGCGAGCAGGUGCGAAAGCAGGUCAUAGUGAUCCGGUGGUUCUGAAUGGAAGGGCCAUCGCUCAACGGAUAAAAGGUACUCCGGGGAUAACAGGCUGAUACCGCCCAAGAGUUCAUAUCGACGGCGGUGUUUGGCACCUCGAUGUCGGCUCAUCACAUCCUGGGGCUGAAGUAGGUCCCAAGGGUAUGGCUGUUCGCCAUUUAAAGUGGUACGCGAGCUGGGUUUAGAACGUCGUGAGACAGUUCGGUCCCUAUCUGCCGUGGGCGCUGGAGAAUUGAGGGGGGCUGCUCCUAGUACGAGAGGACCGGAGUGGACGCAUCACUGGUGUUCGGGUUGUCAUGCCAAUGGCACUGCCCGGUAGCUAAAUGCGGAAGAGAUAAGUGCUGAAAGCAUCUAAGCACGAAACUUGCCCCGAGAUGAGUUCUCCCUGAGACUUUAAGUCUCCUGAAGGAACGUUAAAGACGAUGACGUUGAUAGGCCGGGUGUGUAAGCGCAGCGAUGCGUUGAGCUAACCGGUACUAAUGAACCGUGAGGCUUAACCUU
rnacentral:rRNA from 1 species